AUGGCGGGUCCUACCAGCUUAGAAGGUUGGAUGACCAUGAUGGGUCCUACCAGGUGUAGAAGGUUCCAGGACCAUGGCUCGGUCUCCCAGAGCUGCAGCCCCGUCCAGAUCUUCGUGGUCCCACCAAGCCCCGGUGGCCUCUACAUCCGCCAGGACGCCAAGGUCCACUGCGUGGUGGUCAACCUGCCCAGCGACGCCAGCUUGAGCAUCUCCUGGACCCGUGAGAAGAGCGGCACCCUCCGGCCGGACCCCAUGGUCCUCAGUGACCACUUCAACGGCACUUUCACGGCCAGCAGCUCGCUGGCCAUCUCCACCCAGGACUGGGUGGCCGGCGAGCGCUUCACCUGCACCGUGCACCACGAGGACCUCCCCGUGCCCCUCAGCAAGAGCAUCUCCAAGCACGCAGGCAAGGUCACCCCCCCGCACAUCUUCACCUUCCCACCCCACGCCGAGGAGAUGUCCCUGGCCGAGGUCACCCUCACCUGCCUGGUGAGGGGCUUCCAGCCCGAGCACGUGGAGGUCCAGUGGCUGAGGAACCACAACAGCGUCCCGGCCACCGAGUUCGUCAACACCCCACCGCUCAAGGAGGUCAACGGGGACGGGACCUUCUUCCUCUACAGCAAGAUGACCGUCCCCAAGGCCAGCUGGCAGGGUGGCGUGUCCUACGCCUGCAUGGUGGUCCACGAAGGGUUGCCCAUGAGGUUCACCCAACGUCCUCUCCAGAAGACCCCCGAGCUGGACAUCUCCACCGCCCUCUGCCCGGACGCCGGCGACCAGGAGCUGGACGGCCUCUGGGCCACCAUCGCCGUCUUCAUCACCCUCUUCCUCCUCAGCGUCUGCUACAGCGCCACCGUCACCUUCUUCAAGGUCAAGUGGCUCUUCUCCACCGUCCUGCAGCUGAAGAGCGCCGGCGGCGGCCCCUACCGCAACGUCCUCAAGGAGGCGGCGUGA